AUGAAGAGUGAUUGUGUCGCAAUUGUUGUGUUGUUCGAUGGGUAUUUUGUGAGGCUAGCGGCGAAUUUGAAGGUUGAGGACGCUCCAUUUCCCAACACUCGCUACAAACUCAGUGAAGCAUUACAGGAUAUUCUGAAGCAACUUGAAGUAUGGAGAAGACCUGACCAUAUGGAGCUUUUUCUUGCCCCAGUUUGCUGGAUCUCUGAAGGAAAUUUCCUCAAAAGAAGUUGA